rnacentral:misc_RNA from 1 species
GAUCAAGAACGCAGCGAAAUGCGAUACGUAAUGUGAAUUGCAGAAUUCAGUGAAUCAUCGAGUCUUUGAACGCACAUUGCGCCCCCUGGUAUUCCGGGGGGCAUGCCUGUCCGAGCGUCAUUGCUGCCCUCAAGCACGGCUUGUGUGUUGGGCCUCCGUCCUCCUCCCGGGGGACGGGCCCGAAAGGCAGCGGCGGCACCGCGUCCGGUCCUCGAGCGUAUGGGGCUUCGUCACCCGCUCUUGUAGGCCCGGCCGGCGCUUGCCGACACAUCAAUCUUUUUUCCAGGUUGACCUCGGAUCAGGUAGGGAUACCCGCUGAACUUAAGCAUAUCAAUAAGCGGAGGA